UACGAAGGGGGCUAGCGUUGCUCGGAAUCACUGGGCGUAAAGCGCACGUAGGCGGAUUGCUAAGUCAGGGGUGAAAUCCUGGAGCUCAACUCCAGAACUGCCUUUGAUACUGGCGAUCUCGAGUCCGGGAGAGGUGAGUGGAACUGCGAGUGUAGAGGUGAAAUUCGUAGAUAUUCGCAAGAACACCAGUGGCGAAGGCGGCCUUCUGGACCAAUACUGACGCUCAUGCACGAAAGCGUGGGGAGCAAACAGG
rnacentral:rRNA from 1 species